CAGGAAAACUAGUGUUUUCCUGGCACUAUAGUGGUCCUUCAAGCCCUUAAAGGACCACUAUAGUGCCAGGAAAACAUACUCGUUUUCCUGGCACUAU